rnacentral:rRNA from 1 species
UUUAGUCAGGCAACGAGCGAGACCCGUACCCACAGUUGCCAGCGGCUGCUCCGGCAGGCUGGGUACACCGUGGGGACCGCCUCUGCUAAAGAGGAGGAAGGAGCGGGCGACGGUAGGUCAGUAUGCCCCGAAUUCUCCGGGCUACACGCGGACUACAAUGGAUGGGACAAUGGGCUCCGACACCGAAAGGUGAAGGCAAUCUCUUAAACCCAUUCUUAGUUCGGAUUGAGGGCUGAAACUCGCCCUCAUGAAGCUGGAAUCCGUAGUAAUCGCGUUUCAAAACAGCGCGGUGAAUACGUCCCUGCUCCUUGCACA